AGCCGCGCAGUAGGCUCAAAGCGAACUAUUCUUUCGCCUUUUACUAAAGAAUACCGUGUGCUUGCUGCAAAUAGUGGCAUACACCAAUUUUUGGAGGGGUCUUUCCCUGUAGGGUU
rnacentral:snRNA from 1 species